CACGUAGGGUGCGAGCGUUGUUCGGAAUUACUGGGCGUAAAGCGCACGUAGGCGGAUUUGUAAGUCAGGGGUGAAAUCCCGGGGCUCAACCUCGGAACUGCCUUUGAUACUGCAAAUCUCGAGUCCGGAAGAGGUGAGUGGAAUUCCUAGUGUAGAGGUGAAAUUCGUAGAUAUUAGGAAGAACACCAGUGGCGAAGGCGGCUCACUGGUCCGGUACUGACGCUGAGGUGCGAAAGCGUGGGGAGCAAACAGG
rnacentral:rRNA from 1 species